CGAUUGCGCUGGUCAGCGGUGUGACCUGGGCGCUGUUGAUCACCGCCAGCAUGGCCGGUUCGACUGCGGCAGCGUUCGACC
rnacentral:tRNA from 1 species